UGGGAUUCCAAUCUGUGUCUCUCUGAUCCUAAACCAGCUACCCUGAGACAGAUGGGAAGAAAGGGGAAAUGGGAAGACCUUCAAAACCCCUACUGCCCAGUUCUCUUCAGAGCAGAAUAAAGACUAGCAUAGAGAAGAAGGCUGCCACACAGAUAAAGCAACCGAGACUCAGAGCGGUGAGGUGACUUUCCCAGGGCCUCAGAACCAGUGAACAGCAGGGCCAGGAUCAAAACCCAGCCCUGCCUGAUCCUGAAGCCCGAGAUUCCUGCCACUGCCCCACUUAAGAGAAGGAGUCUCAGAGAAAGAACACAGAUGGAGGCUGCUCUCUUCUGCCCCCUGUAACCACAGCACAGCUUGUCCCAGGGGGUGGGGGACAAGAGUUCCUUUUCCCAAAGCACAGCAGGCACAACCCUACGAUAUUAGGAGGUGGGCAGAAGUCCAGUCUAGAGGCCCCCGCUCAGUGGGAGCCUCUGACACCUACUCACCAUUGCCAGAGGUAGAAUAUUCCAGACAUCUCCAACUCUGAGCCCAGGGGCCCCUGAUUCGGCCAGGCCUUGCUUUCCACUGUUCCUGUCCACUCUCUCCAGCCACGUUUGUCUCCCCAAUACUCACCUCUGUAAGCACC
rnacentral:lncRNA from 1 species